CCGUAGGUGAACCUGCGGAAGGAUCAUUACCGAGUGAGGGCCCUCUGGGUCCAACCUCCCACCCGUGUCUAUCGUACCUUGUUGCUUCGGCGGGCCCGCCGUUUCGACGGCCGCCGGGGAGGCCUUGCGCCCCCGGGCCCGCGCCCGCCGAAGACCCCAACAUGAACGCUGUUCUGAAAGUAUGCAGUCUGAGUUGAUUAUCGUAAUCAGUUAAAACUUUCAACAACGGAUCUCUUGGUUCCGGCAUCGAUGAAGAACGCAGCGAAAUGCGAUAAGUAAUGUGAAUUGCAGAAUUCAGUGAAUCAUCGAGUCUUUGAACGCACAUUGCGCCCCCUGGUAUUCCGGGGGGCAUGCCUGUCCGAGCGUCAUUGCUGCCCUCAAGCACGGCUUGUGUGUUGGGCCCCCGUCCCCCUCUCCCGGGGGACGGGCCCGAAAGGCAGCGGCGGCACCGCGUCCGGUCCUCGAGCGUAUGGGGCUUUGUCACCUGCUCUGUAGGCCCGGCCGGCGCCAGCCGACACCCAACUUUAUUUUUCUAAGGUUGACCUCGGAUCAGGUAGGGAUACCCGCUGAACUUAAGCAUAUCAAUAAGCGGAGG
rnacentral:rRNA from 1 species